rnacentral:sRNA from 1 species
AAUAAGAAAAAAUAAUUAGUAUAAGCUUAAAAGUUAUGAAAUUUCGCCGUGAAGUAAAUAACACAAUGAACAAAACUAACGUGGUUAAACCAUCUCCAUCAAUGGUUUCUCAUUGAGAAACUGUUUAAUAUAAAAAUAAAAUAUAAUUAAAAUGUAUGAGAGAGAGUAGAAUUAGUCUCUCAAAUGAGAAACUCUGAGAAACCCAUAAGAACACUUGUAUAUUUGGUCAAAUAUUAUUUUAUUAUUAAAAUUUAAUUAUAUAACUAAUAUUUAUUAAAAUACUAAUAUUUCUU